AUUGAACGCUGGCGGCAGGCCUAACACAUGCAAGUCGAACGAGUGGCGGACGGGUGAGUCAUGUCUGUGAAACUGCCCGCUGGAGGGGGUUAACUACUGGAAACAGUAGCUAUUACCGCAUACCAUCGGAUGUUCCCAGAUGGGAUUAGCUAGGCGGUGGGGUAACGGCUCACCUAGGCGACCAUCCCUCGCUGGUCUGAGAGGAUAGCCAGACACACUGGAACUGAGACACGGUCCAGACGCCUACGGGAGGCAGCAGUGGGGAAUAUUGCACAAUGGGCGCAAGCCUGAUGCAGCCAUGCCGCGUGUAUGAAGAAGGCCUUCGGGUUGUAAAGUACUUUCAGCGAGGAGGCGUUACUCGCAGAAGAAGCACCGGCUAACUCCGUGCCAGCAGCCGCGGUAAUUC
rnacentral:rRNA from 1 species